rnacentral:lncRNA from 1 species
CAAAAAUAAUAAAACGUUACAACUUAAAGAACCUGAAAAUUCAUUUCCAACAGCCUCUUAUAAUAUAAUAAUCUGUAACCAACCACUUUCUAAGGUACUAACAAGCCAAAAACAACUAUCCAUCGUCUCUCAGUUUCUCUUUUAGCUUUGAAAAAUAAUAUAUAAUAUGAUAUGAGGUACAAGACAUGACCUCUAACAAUAUGCUAGUACCCGAUCUGGCUGCCUAUUUUAUAUAUAUAUAUAUAUAUACACACACACACUAUCAUAAAAAGGUAAAUAUUUGCCUAUCAUUUAAUUCUCUUUCAGUAAAAUGAAUGGGUGCAAGAGUAACCAACCCAGUAAUUGAGACUCUCCAUCUCUUUCGUCGGAUUUGUUACUCUCUCUUUUUUAGCUCUUUCGGCUCUCCAUCAAGAACAUCAUCGAUUAGUUUUCUUGAUGUUCUUCAGAAAUUUUUGUUAUAAAAACUCUCUCUCUCUCUCUCUCUCUCUCUCUCUCUCUUCACUACCAUCCUUUCUACUCUGUUUCUUUUUCUCCUCUGUCUCGCCCACAAUCAAAUAGCCAGGGGUCGGCCAAUGUCUCUCCGAUUCGUAAUGUCAUCGGUUUCCAAUAAACGUUUUGUUUUUUUUGACCGGAAAUCCGUUGAUGUUGUAUGUGAAGGAAAGAAACUCGAUGGCUUGAGAAUAAGUGAGAAUGGGAGGGGCUCCGAGUACCUCAAUCUCUCUGAACAAAACUGAGGUUAAAUGGCUGGAGGAGGCACACAGCGACUUAUAUUAGCUUAAAGGGGGAGCAACGUGGGGAAAAAAACUACUUGGUGAUGUCCGCCACUUCUACAUUGUUCUAUUCCGAAAUAGAAGGGGUCGUGCCCUAGUUUUGUCUGAGGAAAAUGGGAAAUCUGUCAAACGUAUUUUCAUCCUGGAAGGUUUUCAAGCGGGAAGGUGGUGGCGCAUGAUGAAAGCCAUUUUCGAACUCAUAGAAGUUCCGCUGGUGAAUCCAUUCGAAAAAGCCAAGCCAGUUAGACCAGUGUUCAUUCCUGGUGGUUGCAAAGAUUUGGAUGACAUCCCUUCAUGUUCGUUGUUCUUUAAUUGUCCACAAUGCAAAUGCGGUGUGCGUGUUCUGUUUGAGACAAUCGGAGGGAAGUCUUUCGCAGACGUUCUAAAAGCGGGCUGCAUGCUUUUACCCCGGGUGGAGAAGAAAGGAUCUGACCCGGCUAUUUCGAAAUUCAAAACUCAAAAGGGAACCAUUUUGCUAUAUUAGGCGGGGGGGAACCUUGGGUCCAUUCCACCUAAGCUCACUCCAAGAAAGCCCUACUUCACGCGGACCAUGUGAGAACCACCAAAGAAGCCCGAAAGAUACUUGGGUCCAGAAUAAAAA